GGAUCAAUUUACUGGUCGUGCUAUGGUACGUACUGGUUUUGUUGGUUCCUCCUUUCUGAGGAGCCGCGAUGUCAUUAAUUUGGUGUCGUGAGGAAUCAGGACUGUUACUUUGAAAAAAUUAGAGUGUUUAAAGCAGGCGUUUGCUUGAAUACAUUAGCAUGGAAUAAUGGAAUAGGGCUG
rnacentral:rRNA from 1 species